GAGGGUGUAGCUCAGUGGUAGAGUGCAUGCUUAGCAUGCACAAGGUCCUAGGUUCAAUCCCCAGUAUCUCCA
rnacentral:tRNA from 1 species